UUGAACGCUGGCGGCAGGCCUAACACAUGCAAGUCGAGCGGAUGAAGGGAGCUUGCUCCUGGAUUCAGCGGCGGACGGGUGAGUAAUGCCUAGGAAUCUGCCUGGUAGUGGGGGAUAACGUCCGGAAACGGGCGCUAAUACCGCAUACGUCCUGAGGGAGAAAGUGGGGGAUCUUCGGACCUCACGCUAUCAGAUGAGCCUAGGUCGGAUUAGCUAGUUGGUGGGGUAAAGGCCUACCAAGGCGACGAUCCGUAACUGGUCUGAGAGGAUGAUCAGUCACACUGGAACUGAGACACGGUCCAGACUCCUACGGGAGGCAGCAGUGGGGAAUACUGGACAAUGGGCGAAAGCCUGAUCCAGCCAUGCCGCGUGUGUGAAGAAGGUCUUCGGAUUGUAAAGCACUUUAAGUUGGGAGGAAGGGCAGUAAGUUAAUACCUUGCUGUUUUGACGUUACCAACAGAAUAAGCACCGGCUAACUUCGUG
rnacentral:rRNA from 1 species